AUGUGUGGCGACUCAAAACAGACGCACCUAACUGAUUAUCAUUAGCCUAUUGGGUCUAUGAAAGGGAGUUCCCACUAACAACUUUAAAAAUAUAUUUAUUUCCUUCUUAAGUAACCAAAAAUCAACCAGUAACAUUAAAGAAUGAACGUUGGUCAUCAGCAUGCAUGUCCAGGUGAGGUCAAACUACCAACAGCUCUGCAGUGUGUGGAGUAUAUGGUGCAUGCGUGUCCAGGUGAGGUCAAACUACCAACAGCUCUGCUGUGUGUGGUGUAUAUGGUGCAUGCGUGUCCAGGUGAGUUCAAACUACCAACAGCUCUGACUGAAGGUAACCUGGAACAAAGGGUAGCGCAAACCAACGGGAGAGCAUAAGAAUGACAAACCAGCAGACUUUAAAUAAUUUAGCACCGGUGCACCAUAUCACCUACAAUCUACAACAGGCCUGUCAAACUCAAAUACCCAGUGGGCCGAAAUAAAAAACUGGGUCCAAGUCGAGGGCCGGACAUGUUCAAUAUUUAUUAUGAACUUAAGUUUUACCCAUAUUGAAUCUGAAAGUGGCCUAAAGCUUAGGCUUAUUAGCUAUUGCAAUAAGAUAUAUUCAUUUGUAGGCCUAAACAUGAACUCAGCCUUAGUUUUACACAUAUAAAUAGAUAUGUAAUCUGAAACAAGGAGUCUAACUCAGAUCAAAUUGAAAAAUAAAA